rnacentral:lncRNA from 1 species
UCUUUAAGGUUUUAUUUUUGUAUUUCUUUAGGAUUUCUUUAUUAUUUUUCUUUGAGAUUAAUUAUGAUUUCUUUAUGUUUUUUUGUAACUUCUUUUUAAUAAAAAAUAUUGGCUAAAAUUUGAUUAGGAUUGUUGAAGAUUAUUUAAGGUUUAUUUGAGAUUCUAUUAGCCUUGGUAGAAUUUUGUUGUUGCAUUUAAGAAAGUUGAUCCAAAUCAUCCAAACAUACUACAUGUUACU